rnacentral:rRNA from 1 species
ACGCGAAGAACCUUACCAACCCUUGACAUCGCCUGACCGGCCUGGAGACAGGUCUUUCCUGCAAGGGACAGGUGGACAGGUGCUGCAUGGCUGUCGUCAGCUCGUGUCGUGAGAUGUUCGGUUAAGUCCGGCAACGAGCGCAACCCACACCCUUGGUUGCCAGCACGUAAUGGUGGGCACUUUAGGGGAACUGCCCGUGAUAAGCGGGAGGAAGGUGUGGAUGACGUCAAGUCCUCAUGGCCCUUACGGGUUGGGCUACACACGUGCUACAAUGGUGGUGACAGGGGGUUCAUCCCGAAAAGCCAUCUCAGUUCGGAUUGUCGUCUGCAACUCGACGGCAUGAAGUCGGAAACGCUAGUAGUCGCGCAUCAGCUCGGCGCGGUGAAUACGUUCCCGGGUCUUGUACACACCG